rfam:Leptomonas pyrrhocoris LpyrH10_19, whole genome shotgun sequence.
CGCGCUGAUGACCGAAGCAGUUAUUUGUUUGCACAUUUCCUGAGGAGACCCCUCCGGUGAACGACCCGACAACUUCUAAGAACACCAGCUGACA